rnacentral:rRNA from 1 species
UACGAAGGGGGCUAGCGUUGCUCGGAAUCACUGGGCGUAAAGCGCACGUAGGCGGCUUUUUAAGUCAGGGGUGAAAUCCUGGAGCUCAACUCCAGAACUGCCUUUGAUACUGAGAAGCUUGAGUCCGGGAGAGGCGAGUGGAACUGCGAGUGUAGAGGUGAAAUUCGUAGAUAUUCGCAAGAACACCAGUGGCGAAGGCGGCUCACUGGCCCGGUACUGACGCUGAGAUGCGAAAGCGUGGGGAGCAAACAGG